UGGGGAAUUUUGGACAAUGGGCGCAAGCCUGAUCCAGCCAUGCCGCGUACGGGAAGAAGGCCUUCGGGUUGUAAACCGCUUUUGUCAGGGAAGAAAUCUUCUGAGUUAAUACCUCGGGAGGAUGACGGUACCUGAAGAAUAAGCACCGGCUAACUACGUGCCAGCAGCCGCGGUAAUACGUAGGGUGCAAGCGUUAAUCGGAAUUACUGGGCGUAAAGCGUGCGCAGGCGGUUUUGUAAGACAGAGGUGAAAUCCCCGGGCUCAACCUGGGAACUGCCUUUGUGACUGCAAGGCUUGAGUGCGGCAGAGGGGGAAUGGAAUUCCGCGUGUAGCAGUGAAAUGCGUAGAUAUGCGGAGGAACACCGAUGGCGAAGGCAAUCCCCUGGGCCUGCACUGACGCUCAUGCACG
rnacentral:rRNA from 1 species